rnacentral:rRNA from 1 species
UCAGGACGAACGCUGGCGGCGUGCUUAACACAUGCAAGUCGGACGGUCCNCAUAUUGAAAGCUUGCUGGAUAUGUGCGGAUAGUGGCGGACGGGUGAGUAACGCGUGAAGGACCUGCCCUGGGGGGGGGGAUACCGUCUGGAAACGGACGUUAAUACCCCGUAAGCCGGGAGGUGAAAGGCUCAUAAAUGGGCUGCCCUGGGGGGGAUUCNCGUCCUAUCAGCUAGUUGGUGGGGUAACGGCUCACCAAGGCGAANACGGGUAGCCGGUCUGAGAGGAUGGACGGCCACACUGGAACUGANACACGGUCCANACUCCUACGGGAGGCAGCAGUGGGGAAUAUUGGGCAAUGGGCGAAAGCCUGACCCAGCGACGCCGCGUGAGGGAANAAGGCCUUUGGGUUGUAAACCUCUGUUGUACGGGAANAAGGAAGUGACGGUACCGUACGAGUAAG